AGCUUAUAGGGCCAUUAUGGGGUCCUUAUGGGUCUGGGGGGGGGUAUAGGGUCCUUAUGGGGUCAGAAGGUUCUUAUGCGGUCUUUAUGGGUUCUUUAUGGGGCUUAUAGGGCCAUUAUGGGGUCCUUAUGGGUCUGGGGGGGGGUUAUAGGGUCCUUAUGGUGUCUUUAUGGUGUCAGGACAGAUUUAUAGGGCCAUUAUGGGAUCCUUAUGGGAUGAGAGAGGUUUAUAGGGUCCUCAUGGGGUCAGCAGGUUCUCAUGGGGUCCUUAUAGGUUGUGGAGAUUUAUAGGC
rnacentral:lncRNA from 1 species